GAAGUGAAAAUUGAGGAGUCAGGAGGAGGCUUGGUCCAACCUGGAGGAUCCAUGAAACUCUCUUGUGCAGCCUCUGGAUUCACUUUCAGUGAUUACAGGAUGGACUGGGUCCACCACUCUACAGAGAAUGGGUUGGAGUGGGUUGCUGAAAUUAGAAACAAAGCUAGUAAUUAUGCAACAUAUUAUGUGGAGUCUGUGAAUGGGAGGUUCACCAUCUCAAGAGAUGAUUCCAAAAGUAGUGUCUACCUGCAAAUGAACAGCUUAAGAGCUGAAGAUACUGGCAUUUAUUACUGUACAAGG